UUUUUCUUCUUUGUUUUUCUUUGUUUUGCUUUGCCCUGCUUUGUUUUUCUUUGUUUUUCUUUGUUUUUCUUCUUUGUUUUUCUUUGUUUUUCUUUGCUUUGCCCUGCUUUGUUUUGUUUUGUUUUGUUUUGUUUUGUUUUGCUUUGCUUGCUUGCUUUUUUUUUUUUUUUUUUUUUUAAUAUAAAUUGUUAAAUCAUGGUGUAAAAAUAUGUUGUUCUGUAUUUAUGUAUACAUUUAUUUAUAUAGGAGUGUAUGUAAUAUAAUAUUAUACAUAUAACUAUCUGCUGAGUUAUUUUUUUGUUUUUUUUUUUUUGUUUUUCACCAUCAAAUAUAAUAUAAUUAAAAAAAAGAAAAAAAAAAAAAAAAUGAAAGUAACUAUGGCAUUGUUUUUUAUUUUAAUUUUUAUAUAUUUAUAUGAUAUUAGAAGAUACCUCUUUAACAACACUGUUGUAAAUGUGUAUGCAGCUGACAAUAUAGAUUGCCUCACUUUGAUCAAUAAUUGUAAUGGUAAUCCUAGUACACCUGAAUAUCCUUUUUGGAAUGGUCCAUGCGAUACUAAUUUAUUGAAAUGUACCGAUAAAAAUGAAAACGAACAAAAAGAAGAAGAAGAAGAAGAAGAAGAAAAAGAAGAAGAAAAAGAAGAAGAAGAAGAAAAAGAAGAAGAAAAAGAAGAAGAAAAAGAAGAAGAAAAAGAAGAAGAAGAAGAAGAAGAAAAAGAAGAAGAAGAAGAAUGUUCAAAUGGAACAAAUUCAAAUUUGUUUACUUCUAUAUCACCUACAUGUGAAAAUAUAGUAUAUACAUUAUCAUCUUCAAAUAAUUGUAAUGAAUUAUAUCAGAAACCUUCAGGAGAUAGUAAUCAACAAAGAUUAAGUUUUGUUAGUUAUGCUGAUGGUGGGGAAGGACUAACUAAUACAUGUGAUGGUUUACCAAAAAGUGACGAUAGUGAAUCAAAUAAAUUUCCUACUGUUUUUAAUACUGAAAUGGGAGAUAUAUGUACGGGUAAAUUAGAUAUUCCGAAAUUACCCAUAUAUUUCGGAAAUGUUGAAGAUACAGAAAAAUCAAAAGAUGAUGACUUUAAACCUUCUGGAAAUGAUAAUAUAGGAAAUCAAAGAAAUGGGCAUAGUAGUAGCUGGUACCAAUGUAUGUUGUGUACAAGUCCUUGUGGAAUUUCUGAGACUGCUCAUUCUGGUAAUACGUUAGAUUAUACAAAUUUAAAUGACAAUAUUGAUAAUGUAUAUUCUACUACAUUGUGUGAUUUAUUUUCAACUUUAAGUCAGUGUGACCAACCUUUUACUAAUAUACAUUGGAUAUGCCCAACAAGCAGUGUAUCAUUUGCAAACGUAAAAAACCGUAAAAAUUUAGACAAAGAAAAUGAAAAAAAAGUAGAUUGUGUAGGUAUAACAAAAACAACACAAUAUGGAGCAACUGGUGGAUAUGGUGGAGAUAAAGAACCUUGUGAAUAUGACGGAUAUGAUGGAUAUGACGGAUAUGGUGGAUAUGAUGGAUAUGAUGGAUAUGACGGAUAUGACGGAUAUUAUGGAGAGGAUGGAGAGGAUGGAUAUGGCGGAUAUGGCGGGUAUAGUGAAUAUUAUAGGUGUUAUGGAGAUAAUGGAGAAUGUAUAUAUGAUAAUGGUAGAAAAAAUGGAAAAUGUGAAGAAUCUGAAACAUAUGAUGGAUUUGAUGGAUGUGAUGGAUGUGAUAGAUGUGAUGGAUAUAAUGGAUAUAAUGGAUAUAAUGGAUGUAAUAAAAAAGAAGAAAAUAAAGAAGAGUCAGAAUGUGAGGAAUCUGAAGAAUAUGAAGAAUCUGUAGAGUGUGAUGACUGUGAUGAAUAUGAUGACUGUGAUGACUGUGAUGACUGUGAUGAAUGUGACGAUUGCGAAGAUUGUGAAGAUUGUGGUGACGAUUGUGACGAUUGUGACGAUUGUGAAGACUGUGAAGACUGUGAUGAAUGUUACGAAUGUUACGAAUGUGAAGUAUGUAAAGAUUGUGAUGAAUAUUACGAAUGUAAGGUAUGUAGAGAUUGUGAUAAAUAUAGGUUUGAUAUACAAGAAGAGAGUGAGGAUUAUGACCAAUGUAGGGAUGAUGAGAAAUGUGAGAAUGUAAAUUGUAAUUGUUAUAUGGGUUAUAAUGAAUAUGGUGAAUAUACGAGUUGUGGGUCAUGUGAUGAAUAUACGUAUUAUGAUAAAUCUAAUAAAUGUGUAAAGUGUGGUGAACAUGUUACUGACUCAUAUGAUGCAGGUGAUGUACUUGUCUUAAUUGCAGGUAAAUAUCCAUGUUUAUUAAAGUAUAUAUCGUUCGUUGAAAGUAACCAAACAACAGAUAGUCAAAAACCGUACGGACCUUAUGAAUGGAACGGACCAUGGUGGCAACAACAACAUUACCAACAACAGCAACAACAACAACAUUACCAACAACAAUACCAACAACAGUACCAACAACAGUACCAACAACAGUACCAACAACAGCAAGAACAACAACAUUACCAACAAUAUGCGCCGGAAUGUGAGUCGAAAUUUCACUACCAACAACAACAAGAGUGUGCGUAUUCGUACCAACCACAAUGUCAAGAAGAAGAAAUAAAUAGAAUACCAUACGGUCAAAAACAUUGGCAACAUGGAUUACAAGAACAACUAAAACAACAACUAGAACUACAAAGAGAUGAUUGCUAUAAUUAUGAAUUUUAUUAUGAUGGUGAUGAAGAGAAUGAUUGUGAGAAAUGUAGGGUGUGUCAGGAGUGUAACGUGUGUGAGGAAGAUGAAGAGGAAGAGGAAGAGGAAGAGGAAGAGGAAGAGGAAGAGGAAGAAGAUGAUUGUGAAUGUGAAUGUGAAUGUACAAGCAAUUCAUACUACCAUUGUUUAUAAAGAUAUUUGACAUAUGAUCAGUAAUGUUGAAAAUAAGAUGAAAAUAAUAAUAAUUUAAUAAAAGUUAAAAUAAAAAAAAAUUAAAAAAAACA
rnacentral:lncRNA from 1 species